GGCUCAGAACGAACGCUGGCGGCGUGGUUGAGACAUGCAAGUCGAGCGGGAAUUCGUGGAUAGCAAUAUUCGUGAGUUUCAGCGGCGAACGGGUGCGUAACACGUAGCUAAUCUGCCCUUCCGUUUGGAAUAGCUCGCCGAAAGGUGAGGUAAUGCCGAUUCGCCCCGACCGUUGAUGACGGUUGGGGGAAAGUCGGGGAUCGUAAGACCUGACGCGGUUGGAUGAGGCUGCGGCUUAUCAGCUAGUUGGCGGGGUAACGGCCCACCAAGGCUUUGACGAGUAGGUGGUCUGAGAGGAUGAUCACCCACAGAGGGACUGAGACACGGCCCUCACACCUACGGGUGGCAGCAGUUUCGAAUCUUUCGCAAUGGGCGCAAGCCUGACGAAGCGACGCCGCGUGGGGGAUGAAGGUCUUCGGAUUGUAAACCCCUGUCAGCCGUGAACAAUGUUCCGAUAUGAAUAGUGUCGGGAUUUGAUGGUAACGGCAGAGGAAGAGGUUGCUAACUCUGUGCCAGCAGCAGCGGUAAUACAGAGACCUCAAGCGUUGUUCGGAUUCAUUGGGCGUAAAGAGUGCGCAGGCGCUGGGUAUGUCGGACGUGAAAUCCCGAGGCUUAACCUCGGAAGUGCAUCCGAAACUACUUGGCUGGAGGCUUGUAGGGGCGAGCGGAAUUCUCGGUGUAGCGGUGAAAUGCGUAGAUAUCGAGAGGAACACCGGUGGCGAAGGCGGCUCGCUGGACAAGUCCUGACGCUGGUGCACGAAAGCGUGGGGAGCAAAUCGGAUUAGAUACCCGAGUAGUCCACGCCUUCAACUGUGCUGACUCGGUGUGGGAGCAUUCGACCGCUUCCGUGCCUUAGCUAACGCGGUAAGUCAGCCGCCUGGGGAGUACGGUCGCAAGACUAAAACUCAAAGAAAUUGACGGGGGCCCGCACAAGCAGUGGAGUAUGUGGCUCAAUUCGACACAACGCGAAGAACCUUAUCCUGGCCUUGACAUACAGGUGGUAGAAGGCUGAAAGGCCGACGACCUCGCAAGAGGAGCCUGCACAGGUGCUGCAUGGCUGUCGUCAGCUCGUGCCGUGAGGUGUUCGGUUAAGUCCGGUAACGAGCGCAACCCUCGUGGUUAGUUGCCCUGACGCGAGUCAGGGAUCUCUAGCCAGACUGCUUCGGUGAAUAGCCGGAGAGGAAGGUGGGGAUGACGUCAAGUCCGCAUGGCCCUUAUGGCCAGGGCUGCACACGUACUACAAUGCCCGCUACAAAGGGUUGCCAACCCGCGAGGGGGAGCCAAUCCCAGAAAAGCGGGCUCAGUUCAGAUUGAAGGCUGCAACUCGCCUUCAUGAAGCUGGAAUUGCUAGUAAUGGCGCAUCAGCUACGGCGCCGUGAAUCCGUUCCCGGGCCUUGUACACACCGCCCGUCACGUCCGGAAAACCAACUGUACCCGAAGCCGUUGUGCCAACCCGCAAGGGAAGCCGGCGCCGAAGGUAUGGUCGGAGAUUUGGACGAAGUCGUAACAAGGUA
rnacentral:rRNA from 1 species